rnacentral:lncRNA from 1 species
UCUUGGAAGCCACCUUAAAGUCUACCUGCCAUAUACACCAUAUGUGACUGCACACCUCACCUCUUACCUCACGAAAUCACUUGAGGAGGAAUUCUGUGAUGAAAAUAUAAAUUUGCUGCCAGAGACUUGGUCUUGCUGCAUUACCCAGGCUGGUCUUGAACCUCUUGGCUCAAACAAUCCUCCUGCUUCAGCCUCCUGAGUAGCUGGGACUACAGGCUCAUGUCAUGCAUCUGGCAAAGAGCUCACAGCCUAGUGAAGAUGUGUGGGAGACAAUUACUGGAUUCAUCCAGGGCUGGCAUUUUUCCAGCGACACAUUAAUUACAGAUGUUCCAUCAAGUGUCAAGCUAACCUGAACAAUUACAACUUGAAGCAAAGAGCACAGCCCCAAUGACAGCAUCUUCAUCCUUGGAGCUGAGCUGUUUGCAUGAGGAAGGACAAGAAAAUUGCACCAUCUGCCUGGAUGUAGAUGGAAAGACUUGGCUCCUGCAAAACAUGGCAUGAAGAGGGAGGGAGUGCACUUACUUGUUAUUCCAAGCUAUGAUGGCUAUUUUCAUGUUAUGUGUCAUUUGUGGAACAAUCUGAUGUUAUGGUUGGCUCAAAGCUUUUAUGCCUAAUGAUCUGUUUCAAGGAGAAGGAUUGAAAUAAUGAAGGAAGAAAUCCUUAAUCCUUAGUCCUAUGGACUGUCCCCACUCUGGGAAACUAGAGGUCUGUGGUCAGCCAAUCCUGCAGAAAUAAAGUAUGACAGAGAGUAGAGGGUUGAAAGGAGGUUGCAAGAAGGAGGAAGGAUGUGUGGAGGAUAAAGAAUGGUCCCUAGACAGUCUUGCUUCACUUCAUUUCAAAGCAUUUUGCUUGUUUUAUGUAUAAUGUUUGGGGGUUUUAGUUUUACUUAGCAGAGAGAAUAGGGAAAAGUGUACCUCCUUUAUCUUCCCAGAGGCACAAGAAUAGAUGUGAAUGGACAUAAAGCAUAAAUGUAU